rnacentral:rRNA from 1 species
UCAGAACGAACGCUGGUGGCGUGUCUAUACAUGCAAGUCGAGCGAGGCAGCAAUGCCGAGCGGCGAACGGGUGAGUAACGCGUAAGCAAUCUGCCCCAUAUCAGGAAAUACCCGUGCCAACGCGCGGUUAAUGUCCAGGAGAGUGGCCCUCUGCAUGGAGGGUUGACUAGAGAUUUAUCGGUAUGGGAUGAGCUUGCGUCCGAUUAGCUAGUUGGCGGGGCAACGGCCCACCAAGGCGACGAUCGGUAGCCGGCCUGAGAGGGUGAUCGGCCACAUUGGGACUGAGAUACGGCCCAGACUCCUACGGGAGGCAGCAGUAGGGAAUAUUGCACAAUGGGGGAAACCCUGAUGCAGCAACGCCACGUGUGGGAAGAAGCAUUUCGGUGUGUAAACCACUGUCAUGAGGGAAUAAGGCCCGCCUUCGGACGGGAUUGAAUGUACCUUGAGAGGAAGCAUUGGCAAACUUCGUGCCAGCCGCCGC